UCUUUCUUCCAGUAAGGUUGUCACUGCAUGGCUGUUAUAGUUGCCGUCAUCGGCAUUUUUGGUUGCCGCAGUCACUUGAGGUAGCUGUUGGAGCUGCUGCCGGGUCAGUUUGAAGUUGCUGCUGCUUCAUUCUGUUGUUACGAUAUGUUGUUGCUGUGAUCAUUGCGGUUGCUUGGAGAUCAUUGAGGUUGUUGCCGCUGUUGAGAAUCAACGAUAAUAUAUGGUUUAUUGUAUUAAAAUUGCUGCGGACUUAAUUCCUCGAGGUAUGGGAUUAUUUUAAAAUAAAAAUGCUUUAGACUUUGUGAAUACCUUACAAGUUUAGUAGAUUAAUGCAAAUGAAUGAAUGCUUGUGAUGUAAAUAAUUUUCUGUUGUGAUUGAAUAUGUUGUGUUUGAAAGAUAGAUAUUAUUAUGUUUGGUCAUGUUGAUUCUGAAUUUUAGAUUGAAAUUGAUAAUGAUUGAUUUUGUGAAGGACUUGGAAAUGUUGAAUUGAAAUGCUGAUUUUGUUCGUUAAGGUUAAAUUGAGGGAACUUAUGAAGGGUGGUAAACUCCGGUUUUUAGGGGAGGUUUUAACGGAAUUUUUGAAAAAUCGAAGGGUUUUGAAAGUUUUGGUUAUGGUUUUAAAAAUGAGUUUGGUUUGAUUAAUUCAUCAAAAGAAAUAUGGCUUGAGUACUUUUUUAAGAUUUU